rnacentral:rRNA from 1 species
UGGGGAAUCUUCCGCAAUGGCCGAAAGUCUGACGGAGCAACGCCGCGUGAGUGAAGAAGGUUUUCGGAUCGUAAAGCUCUUUCGUUAGGGACGAACGUGCUCUUUGUGAAUAAUGAGGAGUAAUGACGGUACCUAAAUAAGAAGCCACGGCUAACUACGCGCCAGCAGCCGCGGUAAUACGUAGGUGGCAAGCGUUGUCCGGAAUUAUUGGGCGUAAAGCGCGCGCAGGCGGGAUAUCAAGUCUGUCUUAAAAGUGCGAGGCUCAACCUCGUGAGGGGACAGAAACUGGUAUUCUUGAGUGUCGGAGAGGAAAGUGGAAUUCCAAGUGUAGCGGUGAAAUGCGUAGAGAUUUGGAAGAACACCAGUGGCGAAGGCGACUUUCUGGACGAUGUCUGACGCUGAGGCGCGGAAGCUAGGGGAGCGAACGG